rnacentral:rRNA from 1 species
GCGACCGGCGCACGGGUGAGUAACGCGUAUGCAACCUGCCCUUCACAGGGGGAUAACCGGGAGAAAUUCCGACUAAUACCGCAUACGUCCUUUGGGGGCAUCCCCGGGGGAUGAAAGAAUUAUCGGUGAAGGAUGGGCAUGCGUGAUAUUAGGUAGUUGGCGGGGCAACGGCCCACCAAGCCUACGAUAUCUAGGGGUUCUGAGAGGAAGGUCCCCCACAUUGGUACUGAGACACGGACCAAACUCCUACGGGAGGCAGCAGUGAGGAAUAUUGGUCAAUGGACGAGAGUCUGAACCAGCCAAGUCGCGUGAAGGAAGACGGAUCUAUGGUUUGUAAACUUCUUUAGUGCGGGAACAAAGCGGCGUCGUGACGCCGGAUGAGUGUACCGCAAGAAUAAGCAUCGGCUAACUCCGUGCCAGCAGCCGCGGUAAUACGGAGGAUGCGAGCGUUAUCCGGAUUUAUUGGGUUUAAAGGGAGCGCAGGCUGCGAGGCAAGUCAGCGGUCAAAUGUCGGGGCUCAACCCCGGCCUGCCGUUGAAACUGUCCUGCUAGAGUUCGAGUGAGGUAUGCGGAAUGCGUUGUGUAGCGGUGAAAUGCAUAGAUAUGACGCAGAACUCCGAUUGCGAAGGCAGCAUACCAACUCGCGACUGACGCUGAGGCUCGAAAGCGUGGGUAUCGAACAGGAUUAGAUACCCUGGUAGUCCACGCAGUAAACGAUGAAUACUAACUGUUCGGAGGGCGACCUCUGAGUGGUAAAGCGAAAGCGUUAAGUAUUCCACCUGGGGAGUACGCCGGCAACGGUGAAACUCAAAGGAAUUGACGGGGGCCCGCACAAGCGGAGGAACAUGUGGUUUAAUUCGAUGAUACGCGAGGAACCUUACCCGGGCUCAAACGUCGGGCGAAUCAUCCUGAAAGGGGUGAGCCAGCAAUGGCGGCCGACGAGGUGCUGCAUGGUUGUCGUCAGCUCGUGCUGUGAGGUGUCGGCUUAAGUGCCAUAACGAGCGCAACCCCCG